rnacentral:rRNA from 1 species
GACGAACGCUGGCGGCGUGCCCAAUACAUGCAAGUAGAACGCACAGUUUAUACCGUAGCUUGCUACACCAUAAACUGUGAGUUGCGAACGGGUGAGUAACGCGUAGGUAACCUGCCUGGUAGCGGGGGAUAACUAUUGGAAACGAUAGCUAAUACCGCAUAAUAUUGAUUAUUGCAUGAUAAUUGAUUGAAAGAUGCUAUUGCAUCACUACCAGAUGGACCUGCGUUGUAUUAGCUAGUAGGUGAGGUAACGGCUCACCUAGGCGACGAUACAUAGCCGACCUGAGAGGGUGAUCGGCCACACUGGGACUGAGACACGGCCCAGACUCCUACGGGAGGCAGCAGUAGGGAAUCUUCGGCAAUGGACGAAAGUCUGACCGAGCAACGCCGCGUGAGUGAAGAAGGUUUUCGGAUCGUAAAGCUCUGUUGUAAGAGAAGAACGGGUGUGAGAGUGGAAAGUUCACACUGUGACGGUAUCUUACCAGAAAGGGACGGCUAACUACGUG